GACGAACGCUGGCGGCGUGCCUAACACAUGCAAGUCGAACGAUGAAGCCGGAGCUUGCUCUGGUGAAUUAGUGGCGAACGGGUGAGUAACACGUGAGUAACCUGCCCUUGACUCUGGGAUAACUGCUAGAAAUGGUAGCUAAUACCGGAUACGACCCUCGGAGGCAUCUCCAGGGGGUGGAAAGAAUUUCGGUCAAGGAUGGACUCGCGGCCUAUCAGCUAGUUGGUGAGGUAACGGCUCACCAAGGCGACGACGGGUAGCCGGCCUGAGAGGGUAACCGGCCACACUGGGACUGAGACACGGCCCAGACUCCUACGGGAGGCAGCAGUGGUGAAUAUUGCACAAUGGGCGCAAGCCUGAUGCAGCAACGCCGCGUGAGGGAUGACGGCCUUCGGGUUGUAAACCUCUUUUAGUAGGGAAGAAGCGAAAGUGACGGUACCUGCAGAAAAAGCACCGACUAACUACGUGCCAGCCGCCGCCGUAA
rnacentral:rRNA from 1 species